rnacentral:rRNA from 1 species
GGUGGCAGCAGCCGCGGGAACACCGGCAGCUCUAGUGGUAGCUGUUUUAUUGGGCCUAAAGCGUUCGUAGCCGGUUUAAUAAGUCUCUGGUGAAAUCCUAUAGCUUAACUGUGGGAAUUGCUGGAGAUACUAUUAGGCUUGAGAUCGGGAGAGGUCAGAGGUACUCCUGGGGUAGGGGUGAAAUCCUGUAAUCCUAGGAGGACCACCUGUGGCGAAGGCGUCUGACUAGAACGAAUCUGACGGUGAGGAACGAAAGCUAGGGGCGCGAACCGGAUUAGAUACCCGGGUAGUCCUAGCCGUAAACUAUGCGGACUUGGUGUGAGGGUGGCUUUGAGCCGUCCUGGUGCCGAAGGGAAGCUGUUAAGUCCGCCGCCUGGGAAGUACGGUCGCAAGACUGAAACUUAAAGGAAUUGGCGGGGAGCACCACAACGCGUGGAGCCUGCGGUUUAAUUGGAUUCAACGCCGGAGAUCUCACCAGCGGCGACAGCAGUAUGAUGACCAGGUUGAUGACUUUGUUUGACAAGCUGAGUGGAGGUGCAUGG